rnacentral:rRNA from 1 species
UAAUACGUAGGUGGCAAGCGUUGUCCGGAAUUAUUGGGCGUAAAGCGCGCGCAGGCGGUCUCUUAAGUCUGAUGUGAAAGCCCCCGGCUCAACCGGGGAGGGUCAUUGGAAACUGGGAGACUUGAGGACAGAAGAGGAGAGUGGAAUUCCAAGUGUAGCGGUGAAAUGCGUAGAUAUUUGGAGGAACACCAGUGGCGAAGGCGGCUCUCUGGUCUGUUACUGACGCUGAGGCGCGAAAGCGUGGGGAGCAAACAGGAUUAGAUACCCUGGUAGUCCACGCCGUAAACGAUGAGUGCUAAGUGUUAGGGGGUUUCCGCCCCUUAGUGCUGCAGUUAACGCAUUAAGCACUCCGCCUGGGGAGUACGACCGCAAGGUUG